GACCGCUCCCACCGGGAGUUAAGAGGCCAUACGGACAGCCGGGUCCACUGCCGA
rnacentral:sRNA from 1 species